AGUGAACGCUGGCGGUAGGCCUAACACAUGCAAGUCGAACGGCAGCACAGUAAGAGCUUGCUCUUACGGGUGGCGAGUGGCGGACGGGUGAGGAAUACAUCGGAAUCUACUUUUUCGUGGGGGAUAACGUAGGGAAACUUACGCUAAUACCGCAUACGACCUACGGGUGAAAGCAGGGGAUCUUCGGACCUUGCGCGAUUGAAUGAGCCGAUGUCGGAUUGGCUAGUUGGCGGGGUAAAGGCCCACCAAGGCGACGAUCCGUAGCUGGUCUGAGAGGAUGAUCAGCCACACUGGAACUGAGACACGGUCCAGACUCCUACGAGAGGCAGCAGUGGGGAAUAUUGGACAAUGGGCGCAAGCCUGAUCCAGCCAUACCGCGUGGGUGAAGAAGGCCUUCGGGUUGUAAAGCCCUUUUGUUGGGAAAGAAAAGCAGCAGGUUAAUACCCCGCUGUUCUGACGGUACCCAAAGAAUAAGCACCGGCUAACUUCGUG
rnacentral:rRNA from 1 species